rnacentral:rRNA from 1 species
GACGAACGUUGGCGGCGUGCUUAAUACAUGCAAGUCAACUGAAGCAGUGGUAGCAAUAUCGCUGUGGAGGUGGCGCACGGGUGAGUAACACGUGGGUAAUCUGCCUUCAGGUCUGGCAUAACUCCGGGAAACCGGGGCUAAUAGCAGAUGAUGCAGCGGCUCGACAUCGAGACAGUUGUUAAAGCUAUGGCGCCUGAAGAUGAGCCUGCGUCUGAUUAGCUAGUUGGCGGGGUAACGGCCCACCAAGGCAACGAUCAGUAGCUGGUCUGAGAGGAUGAUCAGCCACACUGGAACUGAGACACGGUCCAGACUCCUACGGGAGGCAGCAGUAAGGAAUAUUGCUCAAUGGGAGAAAUCCUGAAGCAGCAACGCCGCGUGAGGGACGAAGGGCUUUUGCUUGUAAACCUCUGUAGUGAGAGAAAAAAAUCCCAAUCUUUGGGACAUGAUGGUAUCUCAAAAGUAAGCCCCGGCUAACUACGUG